GCUAAUACCGCAUAAUGCCUACGGGCCAAAGAGGGGGACCUUAGGGCCUCUCGCGUCAAGAUAUGCCUAGGUGGGAUUAGCUAGUUGGUGAGGUAAUGGCUCACCAAGGCGACGAUCCCUAGCUGGUCUGAGAGGAUGAUCAGCCACACUGGAACUGAGACACGGUCCAGACUCCUACGGGAGGCAGCAGUGGGGAAUAUUGCACAAUGGGCGAAAGCCUGAUGCAGCCAUGCCGCGUGUAUGAAGAAGGCCUUCGGGUUGUAAAGUACUUUCAGUUGUGAGGAAGGGGGUGUCGUUAAUAGCGGCAUCUCUUGACGUUAGCAACAGAAGAAGCACCGGCUAACUCCGUGCCAGCAGCCGCGGUAAUACGGAGGGUGCGAGCGUUAAUCGGAAUUACUGGGCGUAAAGCGCAUGCAGGUGGUUCAUUAAGUCAGAUGUGAAAGCCCGGGGCUCAACCUCGGAACUGCAUUUGAAACUGGUGAACUAGAGUACUGUAGAGGGGGGUAGAAUUUCAGGUGUAGCGGUGAAAUGCGUAGAGAUCUGAAGGAAUACCAGUGGCGAAGGCGGCCCCCUGGA
rnacentral:rRNA from 1 species